rnacentral:lncRNA from 1 species
UGGAGAAGAUGGAAGCUCAGUGAGGCAGCUGGUUCCCCACCUUUGGAAGCUGUUCCUGGCAUGACAGGUCGUACCCAACGUCUCCUCUUUAAGGGGCUAUAGAAUAAACAGUGGCUGGAGGAUGAUACACCAAAGAAGGAAAGAAACAAGUGAACUCAAAUCAAAGAAUUCACAUCAGCUUUUUUGAAAGCGGAAAACCAAAAACGUCAAUUGCAAGCCUCAACCCCCUUCUUCUUCCCCAAACUGUUUUUCCUUUUGGUUUAUUUCUGCCUCAGAGUCUACCUAGGUUUCAAAACCAAUUUUCCAUUUUCC